AUUGAACGCUGGCGGAAUGCUUUACACAUGCAAGUCGAACGGCAGCACGGGGGCAGCCCUGGUGGCGAGUGGCGAACGGGUGAGUAAUACAUCGGAACGUGCCCGGUCGUGGGGGAUAACGUAGCGAAAGUUACGCUAAUACCGCAUACGAUCUGAGGAUGAAAGCGGGGGACCUUCGGGCCUCGCGCGAUCGGAGCGGCCGAUGUCAGAUUAGGUAGUUGGUGGGGUAAAGGCCUACCAAGCCGACGAUCUGGAGCUGGUCUGAGAGGACGACCAGCCACACUGGGACUGAGACACGGCCCAGACUCCUACGGGAGGCAGCAGUGGGGAAUUUUGGACAAUGGGCGCAAGCCUGAUCCAGCCAUUCCGCGUGCAGGACGAAGGCCUUCGGGUUGUAAACUGCUUUUGUACGGAACGAAAAGGCUCUGGCUAAUACCUGGGGCUCAUGACGGUACCGUAAGAAUAAGCACCGGCUAACUACGUG
rnacentral:rRNA from 1 species